rnacentral:lncRNA from 1 species
CUAAAUUGAGUGAGAUAGAGUAAAAGAGAUUGGGAUAGGUUUCGUUUGUGACCUUUUUGAGUGUCCGGCUUCGCAACGAAAGGUCUGCAAACCCCGUUAAGCUAUGUUUAAGGGUCUUACACACUUCCGAUGAGUAUGCGACAUUGUUUUAUCGGUUUGGUUCGAUACUUACUAUAGUUUAGGUUAACGAAAUCUAUAUAUACAAACUUUUCAAUUGAUGUUUCUCAUUAGAGUAGCGAGUUGUAUAGUAAUUAUGUCACACCCCGAAACCAAUGGCGGAAACGUUCCGGGGCGGAAGACGUCAUGUGUAGUAUCACAACCAAUGUACAUAGUAAGCAUAGUAAACACAAAACAUUACAUUACAUAUGAUUAAUUACAUUUGUUUGAAAGUAAAGUAAUACAUGAUUAUCUAUACAAUAGUUUGAACAAAAGUAAAGACGUGUCUUCUAAAACGCUCCGUCUUCUCCAAAAGAUCGCGGGUACCUGUCUAAUGUGGACCUGAGAAUACAAGCGGUUUGAAAAUCAGCAUAAAGCUGGUGAGUUCAUAAGCUAUUUGUUUAUGUAAAAAGAUCACGUUUCCUUUGCUUUUUCUGAAAAGUUGUUAUCCAAGAAAAUCCCAUAUUUUCUUAUAAAGACAGUUUGGUAUAAAGUUCUGAGUUUCCAUUCAGUACAACAGUAGAUAGUUUAAUACGUAAAACUAUAUAUUGAAAGCCAUAAGUCGAGAUCAUUGGACUACCAUCCAGUACGAAAGAAAAACAUAAAUCGAGAUCAUUGGACUACCAUCCAGUACGAAAGUGGGUAGUCUUAUUACAUAAAUAAGACUAUAGAAGAAAGAAAGAAAUAAAUCCGUAAAUAAACUUAUAUUUUUUAUUAAUACGUAUUGUGAGUCGGAUAACCAUGCUAAUAUGACAACGAGACCUCCUUGACGUUCUUUAGGCGUCGGACGAUAUCCAGAAUUUGUCACCCCAGGCGUGUCCGCCUAACUAUAGCUAGCAGUUAAGGUGUGAGAUUGUCAGUCCCGAAUAGAUCUAUUCACAAAUUCCACGCUCUCCCUCCAGGAGACUUUGGUUACACUUCCGGGGAGGAUUUACUGAUGACCCGAAGGGUUUAAUGAAUAUAAAUCUCACAAGGUAGUAUUAAUUUAUUCAUGGUGUACUCGUUCGUUAUCAAACACAAUAAUCGUUUUAAAACAUAAUACAGUAAACACAAUUUAAUACAACGAAGUUAUCUGGCAUGAUACUUUAAAUUAAAUAGAGAUAAACAGAAUCAGAGAUAGUUUAUCUAUUAACUUUGCAUAAAAUCUGUGUCCGUAAAACAAGAACUGAAGAUCCCAAAUUAUUCCCAUAAUAAUUUGAUUAGUUUGAUUGUUUCCUUUACUGUAAUUGAAAUCCAUGUCAUUUUAUUCGAUAAAACAUCCCUUAUGCUCCGCAUAAUACAUAAGAGGUAAAGAUAUCUAAAAAGUUUGCCAGAUAUUUAUAGAAUUUCAUCAGUUUCAAGUUUCAAAAAUAUUUUAUAGUUUGCUUGUAUCCCCCCCCAUGAAAACAUUGAAAAACACGGAAAAAGGCGUAGGGGUAUGAACUUACCAGCCAAGAAACGUGUCGGUUUGGACACUAUGUGUCAGUUCGAGGCUUGAGAAUGCGCGAGGUUCCUAUGUAAUAUGAAGAGAUAUAUAAUUGUAUCGAAUUAUACUUUGAACCACUAAUUAGAUAAGAAUAAACACUUCUAGACGCGAAAACACUUCAAUCCAAGUGUUUGAAGUGACCCGGGUAGCAUCUAUGGAUGUGUAUGGCUUGGAUAUGGAGUUUACUCUUCAAGAGUAAAAUCCCAAUGGAGUUUUCAGCCCAAUGACCAACUCCCCAUGAUUUUACGGCCGUAAACUCAUGGUGGGGGUGUUUUUGGUUGCCUAAUGGUCUUAUAACUCAUGAGGGGGUGAUGCUAGGCAUGGUUUUGAGGCAUUGGAAGGGAAUUUGGGCAUCCUAAGGACCAUUUGAGGAGUUUACGACAGUAAAAUAUGAGUUUACGGCUAUAAACUCUUAUGUGCCAUUACUUAAUGUGUUUUGGUGGUCCUAGGUCAAUCCCAAGUGUUUCUAGCUCAUUAUCCAAGUCAUAGGAUGAAGUUAAGGCAUCAUUAGACCAAAAUAUAGGAGUUUACAGCCCAGGAACCCAUCCUUGGGGGGUUUACGGCUGUGAACUCCUUAGGGGGUGGUUUCUAUCAAUUUUAAGGUCCUUAACUCGUUUAUGGUUGCUUCUAGACUUUAUUCCAAGGCUUAGGAGGUGUUUAAGGGGCAUCUUAACACCUUAGAAGGAGUUUACUGCCUAUGAAAUGGUGUUUACGGCCCAAGCAUGUUCUUGGGUAGUAAACUCAUGUUUACUCCUCAAAUGAUGAGUUUUUGGUGUUCCAAGUCUAGAAAUGUAAGCCCCUAAGUCGAAUCUAAGCUCCAAAUGUGGUUUGGAAGGAUUUUAAGGCUCAAAAACCCAUUCUAUGUGAUUUUGCAUCCCAAGGGUGUUCCAGGGCCGUAAACUCAUGUUUAUGGUCCUUUUUCAUAGUUUAAACAGGAAUUUGAAGGUUAAAGAUGCUAAUCUAUGAGUUAGGAUAGUUAUAUUACCGAUUUGGAGCUUGUUUUGGAUGAUUUUGGAUCAAUCUCGGGUUUCUAGUAAGAGAGUAGAGAGAGAGGAGAAAAGCUUCAAAUGAGACCCAAAUCAACUUUAUAUAUGGUUUGGGUUUGGGGCUCGGUGGAAUUCUACCCAAUACUGACGUUAAAUGGGGCUUUUGGUCAUACCCGAUUUGGUUACCGUAACUCGACGUGGUCGAAACUUAUAAUUUUAUUUUUCCAAUAAAUAAUUGGAAUGUUUUCAUGCAAUUCUAACGUGUUCCGACACUUAUGAUGUCAAAAUGAGAAGUCCCAAUUUUAUUAAUUUAAAACAAAGUUAACGGAAGAAUUGGAACGUAAUGGCUUAACUGACAGAAUAUGGGUUACAAAGAUGGAAAGUUUUCGGAUUGUGACAUUAUCCCCCCGUUAAAGGGAAUUUCGUCCCGAAAUUCAGAGUUAAGAUACAAAUCAUGGAAUUUAAAAGAGAUGCGGAUACUUCUGUUUCAUCGAGUCUUCGCGCUCCCAAGUGAACUCAGGUCCCCGCUUGGCAUUCCAGCGAACCUUGACUAUCGAGAUGAGACUUUGUUUCGUACAUUUGAUCUCUCGGUCCAUGAUUUUGAUGGGUUCUUCCACAAAUUUCAAGUUCUCAUUGAUCUCGAUCUCGUCAAGGAGGAUCACGAGGGUGUCAUUGGAUAGACACUUUUUAAGAUUUGAGACGUGGAAGAUAGGAUGGAUGUUACUAAGUUCUUGGGGUAAUCGAAGUUUAUAGGCUACAGGACCGAUCCUGGCUAGGAUCUCGAAAGGUACGAUGUACCUCGGGUUAAGUUUUCCACGCUUACCGAAGCGUACCAUGCCUUUCCAGGGCGAGACAUUUAAUAAGACACGAUCUCCAACCUGGAAUUCUAAUGGUUUUUGUCAUUUGUCAGCAUAACUCUUCUGUCAGUCUCGUGAAGCUUUCACUUGUUCUCGGAUCUGGAUGAUCUUCUCGGUGGUUUCGCGAAUGAUUUCAGGACCAGUGACAGCACUGUCGGGGACUCGACUCUUAGCUAGCUGCGUGUCCCCUACCUCGGCCCGACACAGAGGGGAUCUGCACUUACGACCGUAGAGGGCUUCAAACGGGGCAACCUUGAUACUGGUGUGGUAGCUGUUGUUAUGCGAGAACUCGAUCAAAGGCAAAUGUGUGUCCCACGACUUUCCGAAAUCAAUGACACACGCUCUAAGUAUGUCUUCCAGGGUUUGGAUAGUUCUCUCACUCUGUCCGUCUGUCGGAGGAUGAUAGGUCGUGCUCAUGUCUAGUUUAGUUCCAAGAGCCUUCUGAAGAGAUUGCCAAAAUCGGGAGGUAAACCUGCUAUCUCUAUCGGAGAUAACGGACACAGGCAUACCGUGCAGUCGGACUAUAUCUUGGAUGUAGACUCGCGUGAGUCUUUCCAUCUUGAACGACUCUUUAAUCGGAAUGAAGUGAGCGGAUUUUGUCAAACGAUCGACAAUUACCCAAAUGGUAUCGUACCUACUCGGACAUUUGGGUAACUUGGUGAUGAAAUCCAUGGUAAUCAUCUCCCAUUUCCACUCAGGUAUCUCGGGCUGCUGAAGUAGACCCGAGGGCUUCUGGUACUCGAAUUUUACCUUGGCACAAGUUAGACACUUGCCAACGAAGGUUGUGAUUUCGGCUUUCAUGUUCGACCACCAGUAUUGUUUCUUGAUAUCCAGGUACAUCUUGUCCGAACCUGGGUGAACAGAGUAUUUGGUCUUGUGAGCUUCGGUCAUGACGACAUCUCUGAAACCUGAAAACUUUGGGGUCCAGAUUCUAUCCAUGAAACAGUAGACUCCGUCACCUUUGAUCUCAAGUUUCUUCUCCAUUCCUCUCAAGGUUUCAUUCAACACAUUUUCUGGCUUUAGUGCUUCCAACUGAGCUUCUCGGAUCUGUACGGAUAAGUGAGAAUGGAUGGUCAUCGUCAAUAUCUUUGCCUUACGGCUUGAACUCUCCUUUCGGCUCAGGGCAUCUGCUACCACAUUGGGCUUACCGGGAUGGUAGCGGAUUUGGCACUCAUAAUCACUGAGUAGUUCUACCCAUUGCCGCUGCCUCAUGUUUAAGUCUUUCUGAUUGAAGAUGUGCUGUAGGCUUUUAUGGUCAGUGAAGAUUGUGCACUUAGUUCCGUAGAGAUAAUGUCUCCAAAUCUUCAGUGCAAAGACCACUGCUCCUAGCUCCAGGUCAUGGGUCGUAUAGUUGACUUCGAGUGCCUUUAGCUGUCUUGAGGCAUAAGCAAUAACUUUUCCUCUCUACAUAAGCACACAGCCUAAACCUUGAUUGGACGCAUCGCAGUAGACAACGAAGUCCUCCGUCCCUUCGGGCAGGGACAGGAUAGGUGCGCUGCACAAGCCUUGCUUUAACGUUUGGAACGCAAUUUCUUGCUUUUCACUACAAUAAAAGGGUACACCUUUAUGUGUUAGAGUGGUUAAGGGUUUGGCGAUUCUGGAAACAUUCUGGAUAAAUCUGCGGUAAUAGCCAGCGAGACCCAAGAAUUGACGGAUUUCUGUGGGUGUCUUCGGUGCUGACCAAUUCUCUAUCGCCUUGAUUUUGGAUGGGUCCACGUGUAUACCCUCCUCGCUUACCAUGUGACCAAGGAAAGCUACCUUCCGAAUUUAGAAAUCGCACUUAGAGAACUUCACGUACAGCUUCUCCGUUCUGAGUGUUUCCAACACUAACCUCAAGUGUUGUUUGUGAUCUUCUUCGCUUCGGGAAUAGAGAAGUAUGCCGUCAAUGAACACAAUGACGAACUUGUCCAGAAAAGGACGACACACCCGGUUCAUCAGGUCCAUGAACAUAGCCGGUGCAUUGGUUAGACCGAAGGGCAUCACUAUGAACUCUUAGUGUCCAUAUCAAGUCCUGAAUGCUGUCUUGGAAACAUCAUUCUCAUGGACUCGAAGCUGAUGAUACCCUGAUCUGAGGUCUAUCUUCGAGAAGUAACUGGCUCCCUGAAGUUGAUCGAAGUGGUCGUCUUUUCGAGGAAGAGGAUAUUGGUUUUUGACGGUCAAUUUAUUCAACUCACGGUAGUCGAUACACAUCCGGAAGGAUCCAUCUUUCUUCUUUACAAACAAUACCGGAGCUCCCCAUGGUGAGAAACUCGGUCUGAGGAACCCUUUGCUGUGUAGCUCGUUGAGUUGGCUGGAUAACUCCUGCAUUUCUGCUGGAGCUAAGCGAUACGGAGAUUUGGUUACAGGGGUAGCUCCAGGAAUUAGGUCGAUGCAAAACUCAACUUGACGUUCGGGAUGAAUUCCCAGGAGCUCUUUGGGAAAGACAUCGGGAAAGUUGCAGACUUCGGGGAUGCUCUCGAGGUCUUUAACUUCCUGGUUCUCGUUAAUUACAUGGGCUAGGAAUGCGUGAGACUCCUUUCUCAGAAGCUUUUGAUCUUUGAUGCAAGAUAUGAUGCGAAGAUUGGAACUGAGUUUAUCGCCAUAGAUUAUGACAGUAUGACCCGAGGGGAGAUUGAGACAGAUGGCUUUUUCGUAGCAAAGGAUAUUAGCACGAUUGGGACUCAAUCAAUCCAUGCCAAUGAUUACAUCAAAGCUCUUUAUGGACACUGGCAUAAGAUCAAUGGGAAAUGAGUGAUCGCUCAGGGUAAGGGUACAACCUAUGAAUAUAUCGCUAGCGAUUUAUUUCUCACUGUUACCCAUCUCGACGGUAAAUGUUUCGGUUAAUGGUUGGGGAUUAUGUUUAAGAAAUCGUUUGAAUGAAUGGCUAAAAAAACUACGUUCAACACUAGAAUCGAAAAGGAUACUAGCAUAAGAGUUGUCGAGGAGGAACGUACCCGAGACAACGGUGGGAUCGGUGACUGCCUCUUCUCGUCCCAUAGCUAGGACUCUCCUAGUGUUGCCCGAUGUAGCUGCCUUGGGGCAGUUUCUCUUGAAAUGCCCUACUUCCCCACAUCCGUAGCAGGCCUGACCGACACCCACUCCGGAAGAUUGAUCUGUUGAUUGGGUUGGAUUUCUGCAGUUUCGAGCAAGGUGGCCCUUCUUGCCACAGUUGUUGCAGAUUCUUUCACGACAGGGCCCGGGAGCACGAUGAUGAUAGCUGCACUUGCUAUACCAUGGAAGGGUACGAGUGUAUCCACUGGUAGGAGUCUGAGCGGUAGAUCCAACGGCAGAAACAACAACAGGGGUAGUAGCAGCGUGGACUGCCACAGUUUGCUGCUUCUUAGAAGUUCCUUGUGAACCUUGAGCCUUCCGUUUGUUCCAGAAUUUCAUUUUACUACCACCACUACUUUUAACCGGUUCAGGAGUGGUGACCUCUUCAUCGGGAUUGUCUCCGUGAUCAAUCAGGGUUUGCGCCAGACAUUUAGCGUUGUCGAAAGUGUCUGGCUCUGCAGCCAAAGCAUUCACUUUUGUUGGCUGGGUCAACCCCCAGAUAAAUCUUUCGAUCUUUUUACUCUCCGGGGUAACCAUUCCCGGACAAAGAAGCGCUAGGUCUUCGAAUCUGGAGGUGUAAGUGGCGAUGUCGGAACCCUUCAUCUUGAGAAUCCAAAGUUCAUGCUCCAAUUUCUGCACCUCUCCCCGUGGGCAGCACUCAGCAAGCAGAAGCUCCUUCAUGGCCUCCCAACCCAUAGCAUUGGCUACAGUUAGAGUUAAGGAUUUGACUCGGCCAUUCCACCAAGUCAUAGCUUUAUCGGUGAAAGUGCAGGCGGCGAACUUCACCUUAUCCGAUUCAGAGCAGGCACAGAUCUCGAAAAUAGAUUCAAUUUUUUCGAACCAUCGGGUUAAGGAAAUGACACCUCCAGUGCCAUCUAAAGAUGUGGGUUUCGCGUUCAUAAAGUCUUUAUAGGAACACUCCUUCCGGUGUCCCUAGUUACCGUCCUGGUUUUGAGAUUGGGUACCACCUCUUGAACCACCGGAGCCACCGGAGUUCAUUUAAGACAUGGCGGCUGCCACUGCGGUAGUAACAGCUGCCUGGAACAUCACUUGAUCAAAUUGAGGAGGAGGUGGUGGUGGCGGAGGGUUGUUUUUCUUUAAGCUGGGUCUCUUUCUUGGAGGCAUCUUGAUCUAUAAUAACCAGGAAAGAGAGGAUCAUAAGUCCUCUGAAUUGAAUCAAGAGAUAUGGAACAAGAAAUAUCUCUUUAUGAAAGAUAUAAGGUUCUAGUGAGCGAUAAAAUAGGAAAGAGUUAUCAAAGCAGAUAAAUUAUCGCUAAGGAAGGAAGGAGUAGCAUCACUCUGAAUGAAUUUCUACAAAGUACUCGGUUCUGACUAAGAUACUCCCAUAGUAUCUUACGUUUUGUUGUAUCGAUGAAUCAUUGUUUGGAUCUUAGGUAAGUUUUAGGCAUGCUGCACACCACAGUCACUCCCAAGCACAUGUUGGCCGUGUCUCGAAUGAAUAUAGUUGAUCAGGCUAUAUUGACCCUAGACACGACUACAUAACUGCCCAGGUUUAACUGCAGCACACAACACCGAUUUACUUAUGUUUUGUUCUACUCGUAGUUACGGAUUCCGGCGGGUAGGGAUACUUGUAUACUUUUGAAAAUACUUAUAUUUUAAAGUAUACUUUUAGUUUAGAGCACUUAGGCCCCUUAGUUUUUAUAGUCUUAUACCAUGUAAGGUUUGGUAUACUAGUUCACUAUAAACCUGGCUCUGAUACCAAUCUGUCACACCCCGAAACCAAUGGCGGAAACGUUCCGAGGCGGAGGACGUCAUGUGUAGUAUCACAACCAAUGUACAUAGUAAUCAUAGUAAACACAAAACAUUACAUUACAUAUGAUUAAUUAAAUUUGUUUGAAAGUAAAGUAAUACAUGAUUAUCUAUACAAUAGUUUGAACAAAAGUAAAGACGUGUCUUCUAAAACGCUCUGUGUUCUCCAAAAGAUCGCGGGUACCUGUCUAAUGUGGACCUGAGAAUACAAGCGGUUUGAAAAUCAGCAUAAAGCUGGUGAGUUCAUAAGCUAUUUGUUUAUGUAAAAAGAUCACGUUUCCUUUGCUUUUUCUGAAAAGUUGUUAUCCAAGAAAAUCCCAUAUUUUCUUAUAAAGACAGUUUG